ensembl:lncRNA
GUAUUCUGCAGGACAACCUGAACACAAGCAGGACUCAGAAAUCUGUGCUAUGAAUUUGAGUGACGAGUCGAGAAGCCAGAGGCUUAGCGUUUGUUCCAGUCUUUCAAAGGAAACUGGACAAAAAGAGCGGAUUUGAGGAAAACAGUAAUUGGCACUGAAAGGUAGUGUUUUCUCAGUGACCCAGAAACAAAGUGUCAAAGUUUGCCCUGGAAAAUUACAACCUUCCCAAUAUGCCCCAGAGCACACAUGUCAGAAUCAGAAAGAAAAACACUGCUUUGUCCCUUUGCCAUCGGUGCAACUGUUCCAACCUGGGGGUCAAAAGUCCGUCCGUCUUGUCACACACAUGCUGAGGGGCCCCAGGACCCUCACAAAGCGGGGGAUUGAGCAGGGUCCUUAUUACGCCCAGGACCCAACUGAAGGGGAGCUUUUGGGGAAACAGCUUCUGACCAAAAUCUCUUACCGGAUUUAUCACUUAGCCUUUCCCUUGGGAUGUUCUGUGGAAGGAAGGCUGCUUUGGAGAGGAUGUUAGCAGGUGUUACACGAAAAACUGGAUUUUUUUGGUUUUGUUUUGGUUUUUCUUUCUUUGGCCAUACCCACAGCAUAUGGAAGUUCCCGGGCCAGGGAUAGAAUCUGAGCUCCAGCUGGGACCUACAUCACAGCUGUGGUAAAGCCAGAUCCUUAACCCACUGUGCCACAGUGGGAACUCCUCUAAUCAUUUUUUUGUUACAUAAUUUAUUAGACUUUUCCAUGUAUAUCGUGAAACUCCAAGACGGGAAAAUGAUGUGCAGUCUCUUCCAAAUAGACCCCACCCCAAAUCCUUUCCCCCUGAGCAACGCGUGGACAGUAUUCCCUGGAAUGUCCCAUAAAGGGCCUUGUUUAAUUAAGGCCUUUCCUCCAAAGGGCUUUUGAAAAUAUCAAUAAAGCAAAUCCAUCAUAGAGCACAUUCAAAAAAUGAUGAGGUUCCUGUUUUAAUGAGUCGAGAGGAAGAGGGCCACUCAAGGCUGGUCUUUAUUUUUCAUUUACUUAUUUAUUUUUGAGCCACGCCCAUGGUUUGCAGAAGUGCCUGGGCCAAGGAUCGAACCCAAGCCACAGCAGUGACAAUGCCAAAUCCUUAACCACUAGGCUACCCGGGAACUCCCCAAGGCUGGUCUUUAGAGUGUAAGACGCUCAGUGGGGUAAGUCUGAGUACUUGCACUUUCUGUGAACUGGUUCCUUCACUACCAGCUAAGACAGAGAGAAUGAACGCAGGCAUCUCUUUCUUCUCCAUCCUGUUGUGUCAACCUGCAAGGACCAGAAGCUCAGGAAGCGGGGGUGACAGCAGAGGAGAGGGCUCAACAAAUGCUGUAAACCGGAAACCCAAGGGAGGCUGGUGACUUAGUGGAGAAACAAGCCAUGUCCUGGGUGCCUGCCAAUGGCCAGAAGGAGAAUAGCGUUGACCUACAGGGCCUCCAACACCCCUACAGGCUCUGGGAGCCCAGGGUCGCCCCCUGGAGGCAGAGGGGAAAGUGGGAGGAGAAAUGGAAGGUUGUCCAGUGUUCCUAAGACCAUCUAAAGCCCCUUCCCCUUUUGUUCCCUCAAACAUUUUUGAGGAAACGUUCAAGCCGGGUGAUCUCCAAGUUCGUUGCCACCAGUAAAAGGGAAGCUAGGUGUGACUGAGUUGUCGGGGGAACAGAGUACCGAACAUGCAGAUUGAUAAAGAACUGCCACGUCCUUUCUAGCAUAGAAUUUGGGAGCUAAAAGACUCGUUGACAGUGCUCUAUCAAAACAACUUCCAAUUCCAUCUACUUAUUUAUGUGAGUGAGAAACUUAUUUAGGUUUCUUGGCACAUAAAUCUCUACAAAUAAAAAUACUGGGAUGAAAAUUCAUGCUGAACUCUGGCUCGUUCUAUACAAAAGGAAUAUUCAUCCAUGGAUACUCAAGGUACUUGAAAAACCAUCUUACCUGUCUCAUUAAGAAAUGUAUUUCCUGUAAAACAGGAUCUUAAUGUUUAUCAAGAUGUUUAAGUGUUGAAUAACGAUUUGUGAUAACUGGAAACAAAAAUGUUUAUAACUUCAAUAUGUAUAUAUAGGUGAGCAUUUACGUAGGUGCGUACAUGCUCUUUUUGCAGAAAAGCAUGAUAAGGUAACAAAUAAUUUUGAAAGGCAAACAUACAUUGGAAUAAAAUUGUGCCGGGGAAGUGGAGUAGAAAUGCUGGCUCUGGAGAGAAAGAAACAAUGUGACCAUUUUGACUUCUAAAGAAGAAAUGCUUCUUGUCUAUUAAAUAUGGGUGGUGAUGGCGGCUGAUACUCCAGGAGAUGAACUCCAGAGACUAAUGCGAUCCGUUUGUAUCGAAAUUUAUUUCGUAGCCCUUUCAACUUAUAACAACAAUUUCAGAUGACAGUUGAAAACUGUGUGAGCAGAUACAUGGUUUUUCAAAAUCCUUUGAGGAGGUUAAGC